AUGGAUCACCCGUCCACUCUGGUUCCUGCACGCCGCCCGUACCCGCCUGGCGACUGCUCGCUAACC
rnacentral:sRNA from 1 species